GCAGUCGUGGCCCGAGUGGUUAAGGCGUCUGACUCGAAAUCAGAUUCCCCUGGGAGCGUAGGUUCGAAUCCUACCGGCUGCG
rnacentral:tRNA from 1 species